CCUACGGGAGGCAGCAGUGAGGAAUAUUGGUCAAUGGACGAGAGUCUGAACCAGCCAAGUAGCGUGAAGGAUGACUGCCCUAUGGGUUGUAAACUUCUUUUAUAUGGGAAUAAAACAGGGUAUGCAUACCCUCUUGUAUGUACCAUAUGAAUAAGGAUCGGCUAACUCCGUGCCAGCAGCCGCGGUAAUACGGAGGAUCCGAGCGUUAUCCGGAUUUAUUGGGUUUAAAGGGAGCGUAGGUGGUUUGUUAAGUCAGUUGUGAAAGUUUGCGGCUCAACCGUAGAAUUGCAGUUGAAACUGGCAGUCUUGAGUACAGGAGAGGUGGGCGGAAUUCGUGGUGUAGCGGUGAAAUGCUUAGAUAUCACGAAGAACUCCGAUUGCGAAGGCAGCUUACUGGAUUGCAACUGACACUGAUGCUCGAAAGUGUGGGUAUCAAACAGGAUUAGAUACCCUAGUAGUC
rnacentral:rRNA from 1 species